CGACACGACGUAGAUCGCCUUCGUGCAAGCUGACGCUUGCAUGGGCAUACCCCAUACACGUGACGGCUUUGGCGAGCGAACUCCAUUGUUGCUGAAAUGGUUCCCUGGUCCAGCAUGAACACUGGACAAAUCUUGUGACCCAACAAGUCGACAGCUGCCUAACAGAAGAAUAAGCCAGACAAGAUUUUGUAUCCAAAAACCUUUAUUAACAUUGCAGGUCAUUCUGCUUCAAACACCCUGGUGCAUGGAAGAAGGCAAUGCGUCAAGGGUGGUGCCUCCGGACGUGUUGCCGCAGGUGGUCCGUCCUGGUGAAAGCCUUCGUGCAGCGACCACACCUGAAGGGGCGCUCGCCCGUAUGACGACGGAGGUGAACUACCAGGUGGUCCUUACGUGAAAAGGAUGCCGAGCAGUGCGUGCAGCAAAAGGGUCGCUCUCCCGUAUGUGUGCGUUCGUGUCUCCCGAGGUCAAACUCGCUAGUGAAGCCGACUGGACAGUAGUGGCACCGAAAGGGACGCACUGAAAGGCUGGCUGCUGUGCUGCGGUGGCUUUAAAACGCACUCACUCUUUGUUCUUCCUGCGUAGGAGAGUGUGCACGUGCAGCCUGUGCCCCGUCCCUCAUGCCAUCGACGUUAGGCAGGUGCCAGGGAUUGGCUGGCGGCAAGGCAUCUGAAGACUGUGAUGCAUCAGAGUC